GUGUUUGCUUGGGCAGCACGGAUACUAAAACGGGAGCAAUACAGAAAAGAUUAGCCUGGCCCCCCGCGUAAGGAUUGACACACAGAUUUGUGAAGCGCUUCAUGUUUUC
rnacentral:snRNA from 1 species